rnacentral:rRNA from 1 species
AUGGCUCAGGAUGAACGCUAGCUACAGGCUCAACACGUGCAAGUCGAGGGGCAGCAUCAGGUUAGCUUGCUAACCUGGAUGGCGACCGGCGCACGGGUGAGUAACGCGUAUCCAACUUCCCCCUGCUCAGGGAUAGCCCGGUGAAAACCGGAUUAAGACCUGAUAGUUUCACUAGAUGGCAUCUGACGGUGAAUAAAGGUUUCGGCAAGGGAUGGGGAUGCGUCUGAUUAGCUUGUUGGCGGGGUAACGGCCCACCAAGGCAACGAUCAGUAGGGGUUCUGAGAGGAAGGUCCCCCACAUUGGAACUGAGACACGGUCCAAACUCCUACGGGAGGCAGCAGUGAGGAAUAUUGGUCAAUGGGCGGAAGCCUGAACCAGCCAAGUAGCGUGCAGGAUGACGGCCCUAUGGGUUGUAAACUGCUUUUGUGCGGGAAUAAAGUCAGGGACGCGUCCCUGUUUGCAUGUACCGCAAGAAUAAGGACCGGCUAAUUCCGUGCCAGCCGCCGC